GUGCUCACUUCACCAGCACAUAUACUAAAAUUGGAACAGUAGAGGGAAGAUUAGCACAGCCCCUGAACAAGGAUGAGGCACACCAAUGCGUGAAGUAGUCCAUAUUUUU
ensembl:snRNA U6 U6 spliceosomal RNA